AUUUUAUAAAACGUUACUGAAUUUCUUUCGCAGCCGACGUCUCCAUCCUCCGGUAAGUCCAGCCGAGAAAAUCCAAUAAGAAAAUAGCGAGAGAAAAUACGCUCACAGUCUCUCCAUUUCGCUCCUAAUUUUCUCGGUAACGAAACGCAAAUUCCUCCCUUUUCCCACGAUUACACCCGCCAAUCCCCUCUCUUUAUCCAAGUUUCUCCGAUUCUGCUCCCACUCAAUCCAUCCGAUCAAACAUUCACAAGCUUGUAAACCAGCCUUCUGAAGCGUUAAACCGAGCAACACAACCGAUCCCCGUCGCCUGGGAUUGGAUUGGAACUGACGGACUCGACGCGGAAGGAUGUUCUUCUCGGGCGAUUCAUCGACUCGGAAGCGAGUUGAUUUGGGAGGGCGGAGUACGAAGGAAAGGGACAGGCAGAAGCUUUUGGAGCAGACAAGGUUGGAGCGCAACCGCCGGUUGUGGAUACGGCAGCAGAACUUGGCCGCGUUGAAAAUCCAGCCUUUGGAUCACAGCCUCUGUGAAGAAACACUCACAGGUAGAAAGACGGAAACCAACUAUCGCACGAUCAGAGCAGCAACUGCAGCGGUUCACAGACCCGACAUGGAACCGCCAUUUAUCGCACGUUCUCGAUCCCCACAAAGCAUACAAAAGGGAAAAUUGGAUGAUUUCUUCAUCUGAAACUGGCAAUCCUGAAAAUCAAUGUGCAGACGAUGCGCUGAGGAAGAAUGCGCACUCAUUCUUUUAGACUAAAAACCCAGAAAUCCUAACUUUCAAGGACGAUCCGUCAAUUUCGGGUUUUGUGGAGUCGGAAAAUCGAAGACUAAGAAGCAGAGGAGGAGAUCGGUGAAGAAAAAUGGAGCGAAAGUAAAAGGAAAAAAUACCCAACUUCUGUAUGAUUUCUUCAUCAAACCUGCAAUCCGAAAAAUAAACGUGAGGAUUUACACAAAUCCUCGAGUAUUUCUUCAACUCUUUACUUCUCUGUCAUUAGCGAUUCCUUGGUGGUUAAUUUCUUGGUUUCGGAUUAAAAGUUUUCUGCAAGUGGUUUCGAAUUAAAAGUUUUCUAAAGGUAAUUUCUUGGCGGGUUUUGUGUUUACUGUAAUGAAUUGUGGGUGAUUAUGCUCUUCGUUCGAUUAUAGUAUAUUCUUUUACACUAACCAACUCAACAUACAGGUCUACAAAAAUAGAGCAAAUUAUAGUUUUAAUCAACUCAUCUUUAACAGAUUUUGGUAAAAUAAAGUGUUCAAAGAGAAUCCAAUAUGUAGUGAGCUGUAUUUUGUGGUAUUGUGAGGAUAAGAUGAUAUAUAUGCCUCCGUUUUUGUCAACAGGAAACUGAGAUUGUAUGAUGCGGUUGAAGACGCCAACAUAAAUGCAACAGAAAGAAGAAGGACAAAUAAAGAAUAGAGGGUAAAUACAUUAGCUACCUUCGGUACUGUUAGUUGGUACUUUUCUCCUAUCUUUUUUUUUCUUUUUUUUUUCUUUUUUUUAAUGGACGAAUACAUAUUCAUUAUUCCUAUAUAGAAUCAGAAUAACUAUGUAUUUCGUGUAUCACCAUUCUCUUUUCUUGAAAUCUUAUUUGGAUGCUCCUGCUUAUGUACCAAGUUCUUUCUUAUAUGAUUAAUGAUAUAUAUAAAGGGAGAAGACGAGUUUGGUGAA